rnacentral:rRNA from 1 species
CCUACGGGUCGCAGCAGUGGGGAAUAUUGCACAAUGGGCGCAAGCCUGAUGCAGCCAUGCCGCGUGUGUGAAGAAGGCCUUCGGGUUGUAAAGCACUUUCAGCGGGGAGGAAGGCGUUAAGGUUAAUAACCUUAGCGAUUGACGUUACCCGCAGAAGAAGCACCGGCUAACUCCGUGCCAGCAGCCGCGGUAAUACGGAGGGUGCAAGCGUUAAUCGGAAUUACUGGGCGUAAAGCGCACGCAGGCGGUCUGUCAAGUCGGAUGUGAAAUCCCCGGGCUCAACCUGGGAACUGCAUUUGAAGCUGGCAGGCUUGAGUCUUGUAGAGGGGGGUAGAAUUCCAGGUGUAGCGGUGAAAUGCGUAGAGAUCUGGAGGAAUACCGGUGGCGAAGGCGGCCCCCUGGACAGAGACUGACGCUCAGGUGCGAAAGCGUGGGGAGCAAACAGGAUUAGAUACCCCAGUAGUC